rnacentral:rRNA from 1 species
UACAGAGGGGGCAAGCGUUGUUCGGAAUUACUGGGCGUAAAGGGCGCGUAGGCGGCCUGUUAAGUCGAACGUGAAAUCCCUGGGCUCAACCCAGGAACUGCGUCCGAUACUGGCAGGCUUGAAUUCGGGAGAGGGAUGUGGAACUCCAGGUGUAGCGGUGAAAUGCGUAGAUAUCUGGAGGAACACCGGUGGCGAAGGCGGCAUCCUGGACCGGCAUUGACGCUGAGGCGCGAAAGUCAGGGGAGCGAACAGG